rnacentral:rRNA from 1 species
CAAUAGCGUAUAUUAAAGUUGUUGCAGUUAAAAAGCUCGUAGUUGGAUUUCUGAUGAGAGUACGGGUCGGCCUUAACGGGUUGCACUGUUGUUACGUCUCGUCGUUUCGAGGGGGAUGGGUUCGCUAUUAGGUUAGUGGGCUCGGGAACCUUGUCGUUUACUGUGAAAAAAUUAGAGUGUUCAAAGCAGGCCUUUGCUGUGAAUACAUUAGCAUGGAAUAAUAAGAUAGGACUGUAGUGCUAUUUUGUUGGUUUGCGUACUAUGGUAAUGAUUAAUAGGGAUAGUUGGGGGUAUUCAUAUUCAAUUGUCAGAGGUGAAAUUCUUGGAUUUAUGGAAGAUGAACUACUGCGAAAGCAUUUACCAAGGAUGUUUUCAUUAA